UACGUAGGCAGCAAGCGUUGUUCGGAGUUACUGGGCGUAAAGAGUGUGUAGGCGGUUCUCUAAGUUUGGUGUGAAAUCUCCCGGCUUAACUGGGAGGGUGCGCCGAAAACUGGAGGGCUUGAGUAUGGGAGAGGAAAGCGGAAUUCCUGGUGUAGCGGUGAAAUGCGUAGAUAUCAGGAGGAACACCGGUGGCGAAGGCGGCAUCCUGGACCGACACUGAUGCUGAGGAGCGAAAGCCAGGGGAGCAAACGGG
rnacentral:rRNA from 1 species